rnacentral:rRNA from 1 species
CUACGGGCGCUGCAGUGGGGAAUAUUGGACAAUGGGCGAAAGCCUGAUCCAGCCAUGCCGCGUGUGUGAAGAAGGCCUUCGGGUUGUAAAGCACUUUCAGUGGGGAAGAAAGCCUUGGGGCUAAUACCCUCGAGGAAGGACAUCACCCACAGAAGAAGCACCGGCUAACUCCGUGCCAGCAGCCGCGGUAAUACGGAGGGUGCGAGCGUUAAUCGGAAUUACUGGGCGUAAAGCGCGCGUAGGCGGUCUGAUAAGCCGGUUGUGAAAGCCCCGGGCUCAACCUGGGAACGGCAUCCGGAACUGUCAGGCUAGAGUGCAGGAGAGGAAGGUAGAAUUCCCGGUGUAGCGGUGAAAUGCGUAGAGAUCGGGAGGAAUACCAGUGGCGAAGGCGGCCUUCUGGACUGACACUGACGCUGAGGUGCGAAAGCGUGGGUAGCAAACAGGAUUAGAUACCCUUGUAGUC